rnacentral:tRNA from 2 species
GGCGGAUGUAGCCAAGUGGAUUAAGGCAGUGGAUUGUGAAUUCACCAUGCGCGGGUUCAAUUCCCGCCGUUCGCC